rnacentral:rRNA from 1 species
UACAGAGGUCCCAAGCGUUGUUCGGAUUCACUGGGCGUAAAGGGUGCGUAGGCGGUCGGGUAAGUCUGAUGUGAAAUCUCACAGCUUAACUGUGAAACUGCAUUGGAUACUAUCCGGCUCGAGGAAUGGAGGGGAGACUGGAAUACUUGGUGUAGCAGUGAAAUGCGUAGAUAUCAAGUGGAACACCAGUGGCGAAGGCGGUUCUCUGGGCCUUACCUGACGCUGAGGAGCGAAAGCGUGGGGAGCAAACAGG